rnacentral:snRNA from 1 species
AUUAGACAAAACUUCGAUUCGUA